CUCUGGGACCCAAGCCUCCGCGCGGGGUACUCCUGAUCUGGCGUUGUGCUCCACCUGCAGCAAGUGGUUGGUUAACUGCUAUGCCACAGGGCUUGGGCCGGUCCUUCCGCGUCCGGGAAGGCUUUCUCAGGCUGCGGAGGACGCCCACGGGAG
rnacentral:sRNA from 1 species